GAUGAACGCUAGCGGCAUGCUUUACACAUGCAAGUCGAACGGUAACAGGCCGCAAGGUGCUGACGAGUGGCGAACGGGUGAGUAAUGCAUCGGAACGUGCCCAGUCGUGGGGGAUAACGCAGCGAAAGCUGCGCUAAUACCGCAUACGAUCUAUGGAUGAAAGCCGGGGACCGCAAGGCCUGGCGCUUGAAGAGGAGCCCGCGUCCGAUUAGCUAGUUGGCGGGGUAAUGGCCCACCAAGGCGACGAUCGGUAGCCGGCCUGAGAGGGCGGACGGCCACACUGGAACUGAGACACGGUCCAGACUCCUACGGGAGGCAGCAGUGGGGAAUUGUUCACAAUGGGCGCAAGCCUGAUGACGCAACGCCGCGUGGGGGAUGAAGGUCUUCGGAUUGUAAACCCCUGUCGAAUGGGACGAAUGGCCGCUGGGCUAAUCACCAGCGGAAUGACGGUACCGUUAAAGGAAGCCACGGCUAACUCUGUGCCAGCCGCCGCAGUAACAC
rnacentral:rRNA from 1 species